rnacentral:sRNA from 1 species
AGUAGAUUGGGAAACUCUUCAAAUCAUUAUGAAAUACCGAGAACAAGCUUAGCCGGCUAAUGGCGGGCCUCGACGUAGCGUUUCGGCGAUACGUGCCUUUGUGCCGGAGGAUUACAAAGGACGGCGAGCACUCAAACCUUGUUUUUUUCGGAGUUUCAUCGCAUCCUUUGGUGUGGCUCUUA